rnacentral:lncRNA from 1 species
GUUUAUUCAACAACUACUUAAACAUGCACUCUUUUCCAAGUUAUGCACACUAAAUAAGCACAACUAAUUGAUGAUCAUGUGAAUUAACUACAACAAGAACAUAGUUGAAUAAAUAUAGAUUAAAACCGGCAAAUUUUCAUUAACAUAAACUAAAAGUUCAUCCCUCAGUAGGUUUCAUCAAGACCUUAGACAAAGGAUUUAGCUACUCAUAACUAUGGGUAAACAAAAAAAACUAAGAAUAAACAUAAUCUAACAAUAAAAUCAAAAGGAAAAAAGAAAUAGGUUUGAGCUAUUCUCACAGACGUGUUUUUCCUUCCAAGAACACAAAAUAAUCAAUACAUGCCUCAAAGGGGCGGAACCUAGUGACUAAUAUAGGUUUUAGGGCUUAAUUCCACGUUUUUCCUCAACUUCCCCUGUCCCGUCACAUGCUUUCUGCGGUCGAGGCGCGGUCGCGGUCGAACCGUGCCCGUGAAGCCUCUCUGAAUCUCGAUUUUGUCUGCAGCCUUGUUUACCUGGCGCUUCAUCCGCGGUCGCGGCUCGACUGCGGCCAAAGGACUUCUCUAAACUUUUGUUUUGUCUGAGACAAUGUUUCACCGCAUUACGUCCACGGUCGCGGCUGGAUCGCGGCCAACGGCUGCUUCAGAAUUCCUUGGCCUGUUUCACUUGAUUUGGUUGGGGUUUUCAUGGUUGUCCUUUUUUCUUCAUUUUCUCGACUCCACAAGUACCUCUCGCCUUCCUAGUCACGUAUAGCCUGAAAACACGAAAAAGCACCCAUAAGAGCAUUUUUGCUAACACUUUUAAUAUCAAAACAAUACAAGAAGGUGGUUAUUUAGAGCGUGAAUAUAGUCAAAUUCACCUAUUAUCAACACCCCACACUUAAACCUUUGCUCGUCCUCGAGCAAGCUAAGCCACACUUUUAGACCUAACCAAUUGAUGCAUUACCCAAAGUUAUGUCACACCCACCAUUUUCACGGACCAACCUAAGAAAUGCAACGACCAUACCCAAGAUGCAGACUCUAUUGCGAUGACACAAUCAACCCCACUCUAUUUACUCUACAGAGGUGAAGACUCACUUUUUCAUCCUUAGUCACAUGCCCUUACAUCAAUUUUCUGAGAGAAGUUCCACACACAUAUAAUUUAAUACAAGGAACUAAAGAUAGAAAUAAUUCACUCACUCUCAGCAAAGAGCAGUCAAAUGCCACACAGACACACCAUUAGCUUGCCCCUAGUGUAAUACUCUACUAAUCGAGUUGUUUUAGUCAAAGAUCAAUAGGUCUUGAUUUGUUUGUAAUGUAGGAUUAGGGACAGGUAGGAUACAUUUGGACAUAAUGACUAACCUCCCUAAGAAAUUUUAAUACAUAUUUCCCUUUUUCUUAUACGUUUUCAUGUUCAACCCCCGCUCAUUCCUCCACAUUUUUAUUUCAUAGUUGCCCCUACUUUUCUUCCGGUGCACUGGCCUCUUAUUUUCUAUAUCUCUUUUUUUACAAGACCAGUGCACCAUUUAUUUUACACAUUCUUGAUUCCCCCUUUUUUCUCUUUCUUUCUUUUCUUUUCUUUUUUUUCUUUUUCUUUUCCUUUUCUUCCUUUCUUUCCCCUUUUCUCUUUUUUUUUGCUCUUCUUCUUUUUCCUUUCUUUCCUUUCCUUUUCCCUUCUUUUUCCAUUUGCUUAUUUCCGGCAUUUGAGUUUCUUUAAUUGUGACGUUGAUUCCGAAAGAGGGGUAUGAAAGAAAAUAAAUAAGGCUCAAAGAUGGUGAAAAAGGGUAAAGUAUUUAGAUAGCAGAACAAAACGCCUUCGUCAUUUCAGACUUCAAAAUAUGCAAAAAUACAAACAAGUGCAAUUAGAAUACAGAAACCAUACACAUCAUUUCUUGACCGCAUCGGAAUUGAUGGUCAUUUCCAUACAUUGUUCUUCUACAUUUGUCAGAUAUAAUGUGCCAUUGGGAAACACUCUUACUCUUAUUACCACGAUCGGCCCCCGGUCACUUUGGCCGACUUACUUUUACGGGAAUUUUUAUAUGUUUUACUUGCCCUAGUUUCACAUGGUUCGGGCGUCAAAACAAUCUCAAAUUGUCCAAAUCUGUUCUUAUUUCCUCAAAUGCCCUCAUCAUCUUCAAAAUGAUUUCAUUGCUUCCCGACUAAUGUAGCUUUUAAUGAUCAGACUGAGAAUUAUGUAUGCAUGUUAUGUCACUAGAAUCAUCAUUAUACAAAAGACAAAACAAAAGGAUAGAAACGAACUAAACAAACGAUGAAACAGUUCGAAUAGAAAAAUAAAACAAAAAAAACUGGAGUACAACCUUAGAAUGAACUGAAAAAGACAUGGACAACCCUAACAAACCACUACGACUAUACAAACUAGACAAAAAAAUAAAAGGAUAAGAGGGUUUGAUCACAAGACAAUAUCCGGAUUAGAACCCUAUAAAUAACCCGGACAGCAGAAAUGACAGCAAAAUGGACAACCAAAGCUCCUCCCCGCCUGACCUAGGAAUGGAGCGUCUUUCCAAUUACCAAGUACGACAUCUUAGCCACUAAAUUUUGCAUCACCCACAUUAGGAACUCUACAAACUUUCAUCACAUCAUCCUGAACAAGUUGUUUUUGGGUCUCCGAGGCUCUAAGAGAAUUCUCACAUUCCUUUUCAAAACAAAACAAAUCUCCUAGGCUUAUUGAUUUUACCCGCGUCAAUAAGCUCUUGAAUUGCUUUCUUCAGCUUCCAGCACUUUCCCGUGUCAUGCCCCGGAGCAUCUGAGCAAUAUGCACACUUUAGAGAAACAUCACAUUCAAGAGGGUUUGGCAUUUUUAUCUAAAUCAGCUUCCGCAUGCCUACUUGCUUCAACUUUUGUAACACACUGGCAUAUGAUUCUCCAAUAGGGGUGAGAACCUUUUCUCGUUUAAGCAACCUCUCGUUAUGACACGCCUGAUUUGGCUUAAUACCUGACCCAGGGGGGUUAAUGGUAUGCUCGUGGAGGUGGAUAGACAUUUUGUGGAGCUGGGUACUUGGAGAGUGAUCACGCCCAAAGUAUGCCCUCUAAAAAGGAUUCUGCGGACGUUGCAAAUAAAAACCAAGUAUUAUGCCCAGGGUCAAAUCCACAGAGAGUUAACCUAUCAAAUACCACCUUAAGACUCACUCAAAUCCUCAAGACCAGCUUUCCCGAAACAUUCGAAUCACAGUUGGAGGUUUAAUUACUAGCUAAUAUUUGGAAUAAACUAACAAGCUGAAAUUAGACUAACUAAGGUUGUAAACAAUAUGAGAGAGAGAUGCUACGGUCAAAACUUUCCCUAUUGUGGAGUCCCUUCUUUUUAUACUUCAUACAAAUUUACCAACAGUUUUAUAUCAACAAUGAACACUUAGCUUAUUAUGAAUUUCUUCCGAAUAAUCACAAUAAUAUACUAUUGCACUCUCCUGAGCUACACUAGCUAGCUUUAAUUAAACAGUUCAUUCAAAAGUGCACAAAGGAUUCGUUAUUCCUAAUCCCGACUUUAAACCUGCAAUUAUAGAUUCCUCUUAUUACCUUAGGAAUGGUAUUAUUCACACUAAAUAAGCACAACUACUUGAAAAUCAUGUCAAUUAACUACAACAAGAACAUAGUUGAAUAAAUAUAGAUUAAAAGCGGCAGAUUUGCAUUAACAUAAACUAAAAGUUCAUCCCUCAAUAGGUUCCAUCAGGACCUUAGACAAAGGAUUUAGCUACUCAUAAUUAUGGGCAAACAAAAUAAACUAAGAUUAAACAUAAUCUAACAAUAAAAAUCAAAAGGAAAGAAGAAAUAGUGGGUAAAUAAACUAAGAUUAAACAUAAUCUAAUAAUAAAAAUCAAAAGGAAAGAAGAAAUAGGUUUGAGCUAUUCUCACACACUUAUUUUUCCUUCCAAGAACUCAAAAUAAUCAAUGCAUGCCUCAAAGGGGCGGAACCUAGUGACUAAUAUAGGUUUUAGGGCUUAAUUCCAUGUUUUUCCCCAACUGACCCUGUGCAGUCACACGCCUUCCGCGGUCGAAGCGCGGUCCCGGUCGAACCGCGGCUAUGAAGCCUCUCUGAAUCUCGAUUUUGUUUGUAGCCCUAUAUGCCCGCGCUCCAUCCGCGGUCACGGCUCGGCCGCAGCCAAAGUCGUUCUCUGAACUUUUGUUUUGUCUGAGACCAUGUUUCACCUUGUUACGUCCGCGGUCGCGGAUGGAGACCGGCCAACGCCUGCUUCAGAAUUCCUUGUCAUGUUUCACUUGAUUUGGUUGGGGGUUUUUAUGGUUGGCCUUUUUUCUUCAUUUUCUCGACUUCACAAGUACUUCUAUCUUCCUAGUCGCGUAUAGCCUGAAAACACGAAAAAGAACCACUACGAGCAUUUUUGCUAACCAUUUUAAUAUCAAAACAAUUCAAGAAGGUGGUUAUUUAGGGCCUGAAUAUAGUCAAAUUCACCUAUUAUCAACACCCCACACUUAAACCUUUGCUAGUCCUCGAGCAAGCUAAACCACACUUUCUGACCUAACCAAUGCAUUACCCAAAGUUAUGCCACACCCACCAUUUUCACAGACCAACCUAAGAAAUGCAACGGCCAUACCCAAGAUGUAGACUCUAUUGCCAUGACACAAUCAACCUCACUCUAUUUACUCUACAUAGGUGAAGACUCACUUUUUCAUCCUGAGUCACAUGCCCUUUCAUCAAUUUUCUGAGAGAAGUUCCGCAUACAUAUACGUUGAAUACAGGGAACUAAAGAUAGAACGAAUUCGCUCACUCUCAGCAAAGAGCAGUCACAUGCCACACAGACACACCAUAAGCUUGCCCCUAGUGUAGUACUCUACUAAUCGAGUUGUUUCAGGGAAAGAUCAAUAGGUUUUGAUUUGGUUGUAAUGUAGGCUAAGGGACGGGUAGGAUACAUUUGGACAUAGUGACUAACCUCCCUAAGAACUUUUAAUACAUACUUCCCUUUUUCUUAUACGUUUCAUGUUCAGCCCCUACUCAUUCCUCCACAUUUUUAUUUCAUAGUUGUCCCCUACAUUUUUUUCCAGGUGCACUGGCCUCUUAUUUUCUAUAUCUCUUUCUUCUUUUUUACAAGACCUGUGCACCAUUCAUUUUACUCAUUCUUGAUUCCCCCUUUUCGCUACUUCUUACCACCCCACACUUUGACUUUUAUAUGUUCUGCAUUAAUUCAAGUGCUUCUAGGAGGUAUAAGUUCAAACAACUUAUUCAAUCUCAGGGAUAUAGUUGAUUAGGGUUACCAAAGAAUAGGCUUCAGGCUCAAAGGGGUUAACUAUGGACAUAUGUACAGGUGGAUUCAUAAGAGUUAUAUAAGGGCUUAAACAAAAAAGUGCCUCGAUCAUCUCUAAGACCUAACAGCUUAUAUUUCGCUUUGCAAACAUACAGGGCAAGUUCUAGGUACAUAUGCAAGCACGGAAAGCAGGUAAAAUCUCACACUCAUAUAGCAUGUAACUCAUUUCGAGUCAGUUCAUCAACACACACAUACGAGCUUUCAAGCAAGAAUAGAUGUGAAAAAUUAAGGCAUAGAAUUACAAGUCUACAACCGAGUCUAACCAUCGCACUCUCAAGCUCAUUUUAAUAAGUUGCAGGUGUGAACAUCAGGGGUCUCAAUCUAGACUUUACCCAUUUUAGUCCUAAACCACAAAAAUAAGAAUCUACCUAACUCGGUUCAAGAAAAACCCUUGGAAAAGAACCUUGGUCAAAAGAAAACCAAGGGGGAAUUACUACACUACCUAAAAAGGAAAACAAAAUAAGAAAAAAUAUCUACAUGGAAUACUUCCCUCAAUAGUACUUGUCCAAGUUGUCCGUCAUCAGGAAGAGUCCUCUAACUAUUUUUUUUUGUUAUUUUGUUUUUUUAUAUAUAAUUCCGACUUUGACCCUCAAGAGACCCGUCGACAAGUGUCCGUCGUUGGGCAAAGUCAGCUAUAUCUAAUAAAAGCAAAUUCAAAUAUAUACAACAAUUAUCUUCAACUACAACACCAACAAUUUGAUAUAUUAUACAACAUACAAAUAGAGCAAGUCUCCCACACCACACUUAAAAUUAUGGCAUGUCCCCAUGUCAUAUUAAACAAGUAAAUAGCAAUUCUCCCAAACCACUCUUAAAAUUAUGGUAUGUCCCCACUCAAUCCGAGUCGGAGACGGUGGCAGGGUCCACAUUGCAUGCCCUCCCCAGUGCACGAAACCAGUACAUGAACUAGCUCUCUGACCUGGACUGUCGCUGUGACAUGGCAUCCAUCCUCGUAUGAAGACCAUCCACAGAGGUGCGGAGAUCCGCACCAUUCUCCUCCAUGGACCGCAAUAUCGGCCGUGAAGACUGAAACAUGGAGAACCCCGCUCCAGCCCAAGGGCAUCUAGAAGGUCCGGCACUGUUAGUGGACUGCCUCGAUGGAGCAGGAGGGGCUGGGGCAUCAUCGUCAUCAUCAAUCUGAAUAGGAGCCCGAGCACCCCGGCCUAUGUCAAUGCGAGCGGCUUUGAAUGGAGCGGUAGAAGCUACAGUGCCAUCUGUAGGAAAGGUGGGCACGUUCUUCUGCAGACACAGAUAAGUCACCAACGAGGGGAAAUAAAACCCCUUAGAAAGCAAUGGGACCCUCAGAAACAUCUCAUCACCAAUAACCCUGGUAACAUCAAACUCCUUGCCCGUCACAAAACACCAAUUCAAAACUGCUAUAUUGAAAUUUACGUCCGUGGUGUUGCCGGACGGAAUGAAGCGGCUGCAGAUCAUGGUUAGCCAAUAUUUAGCCAAGUGUUUAAAAGAGGAGGAGUUCAAAGUUACGCCAUCCGUGACCCAAGUCGCUCGUCUCCCAACACAAAGAGUGGUAAUCAAAUCAUUUCAUGUGACAUCGGCCGGCUAUGGUAAUAAUCAACAUCACCCGUGAAUGUAGGUAGCCGCAAAGCCCUAUGAAUGUAUGGGAUAUGUGCUUGGACAUACUUACCUCUCACAAACACAUCCCUAUGUGAUGAAGCAGUCAAACAGUUGGCAUAAAAUUCUCGCACAAUCAUCAGGUUGAUCGGGCAAGGGUCAUCAAAGAGGAAUUCCAUCUGGCGGUGCCGAAUCUCCUCGUACGUCUCAUCUUUCUCUGUUCAGAGGGCAGCACGGUCUAUCGGCACAACCUGAAUAAAGGUCUUUCUAGCCUUUGCGUCAAAGUCAUAUUCCGCCAGUUUAAUGUUGAACCUAGACUCGUCAUAUGUGGGUUGGUUGGAUGAGCCAUCCCCUCGCUAUGGCUUCUUUCGAGUCAUAGUACCUGCAUAGAUACAAGACAAUCGAUUAAUUUCAUUCAAAUUGGUGUCAAAUGGGUGGUUACUAAGACUUCACCGCCCAAAGACACCACAAAACACUCCUUUUUGUAGUUCCAAGUGACACCCACACCCCAUUAGCAUUGUAGUGAAGGCCUAACAACCUAGCUAAAUACAAACAUUGGCCAACACCACCCCACACUUACACUUUUGCACCUAAUUUACAAACAAAAUCACCUCCUAACUCACCACUAGCCGACCCCACACUUAGAAUUUGUGCAUAAUCUGCCCCAAACUAACAACGCAAUCAUCAAUUUUCAACUGAACAGGGCCUCCCAACAACCACAUCUCCAUAAAAAAUUUUCUAGGCCUCCAAAAUAGCAACACAAGCCCCAUAACUUCAAAAAUAAUGGAGGCCCAAACAAUUUCACACCAAACAAUCCCACAAUAACACCCACAAAUAUAUACAAAAACAACAAUUAACAAUUAUACAAGAUUGAAACUAUUGCUACCUAUGGUUAAUUAAAACAACUAAACUAACUUACACUAAUUUAGUAAGUAAAAUAAAGAGAAAGAAAGAGGAACAUACAAGGAUUGAAGAUUGGGAAGGGUUGAUGAAGUUGGGGAAGGGGGGGAUAGUUGGGUGAGUUGAGGAAUUGAAUAAGAGAAGAAGAAGAGAGAAGUUGGAGAGAAAAGAUGAAAAAAUGGUGAAAAUUGCUACUGGGGCAGAAGAGAAAAGGGAACGAAGGGUUUUGAAAGCUAGGGGGCAUUUUGGUAAAAAAAGGGGUAAAAAAAUUAAAAAUAACAAAAUAAAAACCAACCUGGCGCGCGGGCUCCGCGGUCCGACCGUGGUCGCGGGAGGACUGCGGAAGAUGAAGUUCAGAGAGCGGUUAUAUCCGGGCUUGGCCAGCGUUAGCACUGGGACCGCGGAAGACGGGGUUCAGAGAGGGGUCAGUGCCGCGCUUUAACUGCGGUCUGGGCCCUUCUUUGAAUCUGAUGAUGGUUUUUUUUGUGUUAUUGAUUAUUCUUACAUGAUUACAAUUACAACAAUAUCGUGGGUUGCCUCCAACGCAUCACCUGAUUUAAUGUCGCAGCAUGACAGAUGAGCGCAUUUACGGCUCUCUCGACCUUUGCGGCUCAUUCAAGUGUAGCGCAGUUCCUUCUUUAGAUUCGCUCAUUCACAUGUAUAAUUUCAACUACUGGCCAUUGACUCUAAAUGUGCGAGAGUCAUUCUCAGUAGCAACUUCAACAACCCCAGACGGGAGGACUUCAACCACCCUAAAUGGUCCAGACCAUCGUGAUUUGAGCAUACCCGGGAACAACAUCAAUCUUGAGUUGUAAAAUAGUACCCUGUCCCUGGAUUUGAAGGUUCGCUCCGUAAUGUGCUGAUCAUGCAGCCUCUUCAUUUUUUCUUUAUACAGUCUUGUGCUCUGAAAAGUAAGAUGUCAGAACUCCUCCAGCUCAUGCAAUUUUGUGACUCUAGACGAGCCUGCAACUUCUAUGUCAAGAUUCAACUGUUUGAGUGCCCACCACGCUGUGUGCUCAAGUUCUACCGGCAGGUAACAGGCCUUCCAAAACACCAACUUGUGUGGAGACAUACCAAUUAGUGUCUUGAAUGCUGUUCUAUACGCCCAGAGUGCAUCAUCUAACUUUCUUGCCCAAUAUGUUCUUGUAGCAUUUACAGUUUUUGUCAACACACUCUUUAUCUCUCUAUUGGAGACCUCCACCUGUCCACUGGUUUGCGGGUGGUAAGGAGUAGCCACCAUGUGACGCACGUCGUAUUUGUAGAAAAUUAUUCUAUCUAUGAUAUGUGCGCUUUGGUUGUAUAAGCAUGAUUUUCAGGUAUAGGUUUUGAUGAAUGACAAACAAUGAAGUCAAGUGNNNNAACUUGUAUGGAGACAUACCAAUUGGUGUCUUGAAUGUUGUUCUAUACGCCCAGAGUGCAUCAUCUAACUUUCUUGCCCAAUAUGUUCUUGUAGCAUUUACAGUUUUUGUCAACACACUCUUUAUCUCUCUAUUGGAGACCUCCACCUGUCCACUGGUUUGCUGGUGGUACAGAGUAGCCACCUUGUGGCACACAUCAUAUUUUGCCAACAAUUUCUCAAAUGAUUUAUUGUAGAAAUGAGUGCCCCAGUCACUUAUUGUCGCUCGUGGUGUCCCAAAGCGGGUGAGUAUGUUUUUCUUCAGAAACCCCACCACUGCUUUUGCAUCAUUGGUGGAUAAUGCUACAACUUCCACCCAUUUAUACACACAAUCCACAGCAACAAGAAUGUACUCAUUGCCGUAAGAGCUAACGAAGGGACCCAUGAAAUCUAUCCCCCAAACAUCAAAUACUUCAACCUCCUGAAUUGGGGUUGUGGGCAUCUCGUGGCAUCGGUAGUUGUUCCCGGUGCGUUGGCAUUCAUUACAACCCCUUACCCAUGUGUGAGCAUCUUUGAACACAGUUGGCCAGAAAAACCGAGCCUCAAGCACCUUUGCUGCAGUCGUCGCUCCUCCAAAGUGUCCCCCAUAAGCCGAUGCAUGACAUGCCUACAAAAUAGAAGAUUGUUCCAUCUCGGAGUAGCAUCUCCGGAUCAUGUUAUCCAGACAUAUUCUAAAAAUAUAGGGAUCAUCCCAAUAAUACAUACGGCUUUCACGAAAGAAACGCUUCCUCUAGACCGAAGAUAGGUCGUGAGGGACUAUACGCAAGCUAGGUAGUUGGCAAAAUCUGCAUACCAUGGUGCUUCUUGAUGUUUAUCUAUGAGCAGUUUGUCUGGAAAGGUUUCCAGAAUAUCCUUAACCUCAAUUGUAUUUUUAGCUCCCUCAAGUUGUGAUAGAUGAUCAACGACUUGGUUCUCACUGCCCUUUCGGUCACGUAUCUCAAGAUUAAACUCUUGUAGCAACAACAUCCAACGAAUCAGGCGGGGCUUAGAGUCUUUCUUCUCUAUCAAGUAUCUAAAAGUUGCAUGGUCAGUGUAUACAAUUACCUUUUAUCCUAUAAAGUAGGACCGUAACUUGUCGAAUGAAAACACCACAGCUAACAUCUCAUUCUCGGUCACUGUGUAAUUCAGUUGGGCCCUACUCAGCAUUCUACUUGCAUAGUAGAUUGGAUGCAUCAAUUUUUCCUUCCGCUGGCCCACCACCGCCCCUACUGCAUAGUCACUAGCAUCACACAUUAGCUCGAAAGGUUGCUCCCAGUUGGGGGGAAACAAUGAUUGGUGCUGUGACCAGCUUUUGCUUAAGCUCUUCAAGUGCUACCCUGCAUGCAUCAGAAAAUACAACAGGUUAUCUUUUUCUAGCAACUUACAGAGAGGGUUGGCGAUUUUGGAGAAGUCGUUAAUGAAUCGUCAGUAGAAACUGGCAUGUCCAAGGAAGCUUCUUAUUGCUUUUACCAAGGUUGGCGGAGGCAGCUUUGCUAUGGCAUCAACUUUAGCUCUAUCUACCUCCAUUCCCUUGCUUGACACUCGGUGCCCCAAGACUAUGCCUUCUUGCACCAUGAAAUGGAACUUCUCCCAGUUUAGCACCAAAUUAGUCUCUAUGCACCUCUUCAACACACGUGUCAGAUUCACUUGACACUCAUCAAACAAAUUCCCCACCACUGAGAAAUCAUCCAUGAACACCUCCAUAAUGUCUUCAACCAUAUCAGUGAAAUUGGCCAUCAUGCACCGUUGGAAUGUGGCAGGUGCAUUACAAAGGCCAAAAGGCAAAAUUCCCCACCACAGAGAAAUCAUCCAUGAACACCUCCAUAAUGUCUUCAACCAUAUCAGUGAAAAUGGCCAUCAUGCACCGUUGGAAUGUGGCAGGUGCAUUACAAAGGCCAAAUGGCAUCCUCCUGAAAGCAUAAACGCCAUAGUGGCAAUUGAAUGAGGUAUUCUCUCGGUCCUUAGGGGCAACAGAUAUCUGGUUGUACCCUGAGUGCCCAUCGAGGAAGCAAGAGCGCGACCUCCCAGCCAAUCUGUCUAGCAUCUGAUCAAUGAAGGGAAGUGGGAAGUGGUCUUUCCGGGUGGCAAGAUUCAGAUUUCUAUAAUCCAUGAAUAUUCUCCAACCAGUGACGGUUCUCGUAGAGAUUAGCUCAUUUUUGUAAUUUUCACCACCGUCAUGCCACCUUUCUUAGGCACACACUGAACUGGGCUAACCCAACUGUUGUCAGAGAUACGGAAGAUAAUCCCCGCAUCUAACCACUUAAUUACCUCCUUCUUCACCACUCCCAUCAUGUUUGUAUUCAGCCUCCUUUGAUGUUCCCUGGAAGGUCUGUGUCCCUCUUCCAGCAGAAUCUUGUGCAUGCAAUAGCCGGAGCUGAUCCCCUUGAUAUCUGCUAUGGUCCAUCCGAUGGCAGUUUUGCAGGCCUUCAGUACCUGUAAAAGCUGUUGCCCUGCACAUCUAGCAAACCAGAUGAUAUAAUAACAGGUAAAGUGGAUUGGGCCUAGAAAUUCAUACCCGAGGUGAGCUGGCAAGGGCUAUAGCUCCAGCUUUGGUGGUUCUUCAAUGGACAGUUUAGCUGGAGGGCUCUCUCUUUUCUCCAAAUGUAGGGGUUCAAAUUCAAGCUUUCUAUCCCAAAACUCCUUACUUCCAACGCAAACACCCAUUCCGCCAACUCCUCACCAUUAGCCUCCUCCAAAUUGGAUAGACAUGCAGCUAAGGGAUCCUCCACCAUCAAUACCUCAUCAUCAGACUGAACAAUUACGUCCGCAACAUCAGUGAGAGAGCAGUUAGCGAAUUCACUUGGACGUCUCAUCACCACAUUAAAAAUAAUCUCUUCAUCAUUGAGCCUCAUCUUAAGCUCCCCAGUCUUGCAAUCAAUCAAUGCUCUCCUAGUGGCCAAGAAUGGGUUUCCCAAAAUGAUAGGAAUUUUUUCAUCCACCUUGCAAUCCAAGAUCACAAUAUCUGCAGGGAACACAAAUUUCCCCACCUGAAUAAGAACAUCAUCUAGGAUCCCAAAUGGAUGAUUUAUAGUCAUGUCAGCCAGAUGCAACAUCAUAGUGGUUGGUCUAGCUCUCCCAAUGCCGAACCUCUUGUAAACAACCAGGGGCAUGAGGUUAAUGCUAGCCCCUAAAUCACAAAGUUCCUUUGUAAAGGCAAAAUUACCAAUAGUACAAGGAAUAGUGAAACUCCCUGGGUUAGAGAGCUUUUCAGCAACGGGUCUAGUCACCACUGCACUACAAGUCUAUGUAACUGUUACUAUGACCGAAUCUUGGAAGUCAAACUUCCUAGAUAUCAAGUAUAUCAUCAUCUUUGCAUAUCCAGGCAUCUCCUUUAAAGCUUCGAUCAAUGGAAUAUUUACCUGAAUUUGCUUGAGCAUGUCAAAGAACUUCUUGUAUUACUCUUCUUUUUGGUGCUUGGCCAAUCUCUGUGGGAAUGGUGCAGGAGGUCUUUUCUUCCCAAUGACUUGGGACUUUUCCUUCUCAACUAUCAUCUCCUAAUUUGCUUGAGCAUGUCAAAGAACAUCUUGUAUUGCUCUUCCUUUUGGUGCUUGGCCAAUAUUUGUGGGAAUGGUGCAGGAGGUCUUUUCUUCCCAAUAACUUGGGACUUUUAAUUCUCAACUAUCAACUCCUCCAUUGGCUCUGCUACUGUUUCAGCGAUUUUCUCGCCCUCUUGUUGCACAUUCUAAUUUUCAGGAACAUACUGGACUGUCACAUCUGUCAGCCUUGUUGAUUCAUCCAGCUCAAUGGGUACCUGAAUUAGUGUCUCUGUCUGCAUAUUCUCAGGAUCUCUUUCCUUUUAAACAUCAAGAUCCCUCCCAUUGCUGAGACUCACCGCCAUUAGUUGCUUCGGGACCUGAUCUUUAGGGCUGGUCUGAGUAUCUGCAGACAAUGUCUCUUGAGGACGGUUAUUCAAAGACAUAGCAAUAUGACCCACCUGUAUUUCAAUAUUUUUAUAUAGUUGCAUCAUAUGAAUCUACCCUCUCAUUUAUCUUUGCAUUGCACCCAAUCACUUGUUGCAUCAUCUCUUCUAGCCUGGAGAACCCAUCUUCUUGUCUCCCACUAUGCUGUGUCUGAGGUGGGUUGUACCAUUGUUGCUGAUUAUUAUACCAUUGCGGCCUCGGAUAAGGUGCCAUGUUGCUGGGGGCAUCAUACCUCCUAUAUUCCUUGCACUGUAAUGUGGAUGGAUGGCCUGUACUGCUACUGAGUUUGCUGGCCCCAGUUCUGUUUACUUUGCCUCUGACCCCUGUAGUUAGCCACAUAAUUCAUAUCUUUAGGUUGUUGAUGAUGAAGGUCAUGCUCCACAUUCCAUGGAUUACCAAUUGGCUGACUGAUGCAAGAUGUGCACAAGUCCCCAUUGGUAGUAUCAACUAUAUGUACAUGCUGCUUUUGUCCUGACUCUUCCACCUUCUUGGUGAGGAUGCUCAUCUGUGUCAAAAGAGUCGCCACAUUCUCCCCCAUAGUGUUGGAAGGAUCAAGAGGCACUGAAUGCACCACCGGAGUGAUAGGUGUGUUUCUGGUUGUCCACCCUGAAUUUUGAGCCAUUUUAUCCAGCAGGUUCUGUCUUUCUCUCCAUGUGUUGCUCAAAAACGCCCCACCAGCUGAGGCAUCCACAAUAUUCUUCAUGCUAUCAGAAAGACCCAUGUAAAACCGUUGUCCCAACAUCUGCUCUAGAAUAAAAUGUUGGGGACACAUCACCAACAUUCCUUUGAACCUUCCCCAUGUCUCGUGCAAAGUUUCCAUAGGUUUUGUUGAAUCUUACAAUCUCGUCAAUCCGCUUUGAUGUUUUGUUGGGCGGAUGGAACUUGUUGUGAAACUAUUUGACUAACUCAUCUCAAGUUUCAAUGGAGUUUAUGGGUAGUGAUUUAAGCCAAAUAUGAGCAGCUUUUGUCACAGAUAAAGGAAAUAAUAGAAGCAUGAUUUCUUCCGGAGUCACGUUGGGCUGCCUCUGAGUCUUGCAUAUAAACAGGAAAUUUUUAAGUGGUGUUGAGGGUCUUCUACCUGUGUUCCAAAGAACAAUUCCUUGUUUUGCAACAUGUGCAGCAUAUUGCUUGUAAUCUGGAAUGAUUCAACAUGUAUCGCUGGCACAACAGUGGCAGUUGCCAAAUUAUCAGAUGUUGGCUGUUCCAAGUCACAAAGUGCACCCUUCGGCACAAGAGGUGCCGCCACUCCAGCAUUUAAGUUGACUUGCUCUUGUCUGCCGUCUCUGUUGGGGUCGAUUACGCCGUCCAUUUCAGGUUGGAGUUUGUCUGUCUGUUGAGAUGGUUGAAGUCUUCUGUUAGCAUGGUUUAAUGCCCCGAAUAUCUUUUCAGGGUCUGAGAGUCCUUCAAGCAAUUCUCCGGUCCUUGUAGAAUUUCUAGGCAUACACCUGUGCAACCAAGUCAACCGUCAAAAGUUUUAACCAAAAUUCGGUGUAAAGAAACUAGCUACACCAAGAAUUUUUGUAACUCUAGCAAUGGCAAUGGAUAAUUUCGUUAAUCCCCCGGCAACUACGGCAGAAUUUGAUCACGCCUAAAGUAUGCCCUCUAAAAAGGAUUUUGUGGACAUUGCAAAUAAAACCCAAGUAUUGUGCCCAUGGUCGAAUCCACAGAGAGUUAACCUAUUAAAUACCACCUUAAGACCCACUCAAAUCCUCAAGACCAGCUUCCCCAAAACUUUCGAAUCACAGUUGGAAGUGUAAUUACUAGUUAAUAUUUGGAAUAAAGUAACAAGCUGAAAUUAGACUAACUAAGUUUGUAAACAAUAUGAGAGAGAGAUGCUACGGUCAAAACUUUCCCUAUUGAUAGAAUUCCUUCUGUUUAUGCUUCAUAAAAAUUUACCAACAUUUUUAUAUCAACAAUGAACACUUAGCUUAUUACGAAUUUCUUCCGAAUAAUCACAAUAAUAUACUAUUGCACUCUCCCGAGCUACACUAGCUAGAUUUAAUUAAACAGUUCAUUCAAAAUUGCACGAAGGCUUUGUUAUUCCUAAUCCCGCCUUUAAACCUGCAGUUAUAUAUUCCACUUAUUACCUAGGAGUGGUGUUAUUCAAUAACUACUUAAACAUACACUCUUUUCCAAGUUAUGCACACUAAAUAAGCACAGCUAAUUGAGGAUCCUGUCUAUUAACUACAACAAGAACAUAGUUGAAUAAAUAUAGAUUAAAACCGACAAAUUCGCAUUAACAUAAACUAGAAGUUCAUCCCUUAAUAGGUUCCAUCAAGACCUUAGACAAAGGAAUUAGCUACUCCUAACUAUGGGUAUACAAAAUAAACUAAGAUUAAACAUAAUCUAACAAUAAAAAUCAAAAGGAAAGAAGAAAUAGGUUUGAGUUAUUCUCACAUGCUUGUUUCUCGUUCCAAGAACACUAAAUAAUCAAUACAUGCCUCAAAGGGGAGGAACCUAGUGACUAAUAUAGGUUUUAGGGCUUAAUUCCACGUUUUCCUUCAACUGCUUCUAUCCAGUCACAUGCCUUCCGCGGUCCAGGCGCGGUCGCGGUCGAACCGGGCCCGUGAAGCCUCUUUGAAUCUCGAUUUUGUCUACAACCCUAUUUUCCCACGCUCCGCGGUCGCAGCUCGACCGCGGCCAAAGGCCUUUUCUGAACUUUUUUUUAGUCUUAGACCAUGUUUCACCGCGUUACGUCAGCGGUCACGGCUGGACCGCGGCCAAUGGUUGCUUCAUAAUUCCUUGGCCUGUUUCACUUGAUUUGGUUAGGGGUUUUCAUGGUUGGAAUUUUUUCUUCAUUUUCUCGACUCCACAAGUACUUCUCGCCUUCCUAGUCGUGUAUAGCCUGAAAACAUGAAAAAGCACCCAUAAGAGCAUUUUUGCUAACACUUUUAAUAUCAAAACAAUACAAGAAGGUUGUUAUUUAGGGCCUGAAUAUAGUAAAAUUCACCUAUUAUCAAAGAGUGAGGUAUGUCUUUGGGAGUCCUGUGGAGAAGAGUAACGUUGGGCAGGGUCAUCCAUUGCAUGAGUAUAUACACGGGUACAAUGUCAAGGUUGGAAAUGUUGAUCAGUAGAGUCAUUUGGAUCAUGUUUUCUGUUUCUGUUUCUCAUUUUCGAGCUUAACGAGAUGUCCUGAAUGUCUUCUGAGCAACUCUUUAUUUUUCCCGACUUGAUUCCCUGUUCUACGAAUUCCCCAUUCUUAGCACAUCAUUGAAAGGUCUCCCCACGACCGGGAUCAAAUGUUUGAAUUAACUGGGCCCCUGGGCCUGAAUGAAAAUUUCAACCAUCUCUUCUUCACCAAUCAGGGUAUUGACUCGAGGAGCUUGCUCCUUCCAUCUGAGCCCAAACUCUCUAAAGCUCUCCCCUGGUUUCCUUUCCAUUCUAGAUAGGGAGGAAUGGUUUGGGACAAUGUCUUUAUCGUACUGAAAAUGUUGCAAAAAAUCUGGAGCCAUGUCGCCCAGCGUGUGCCAUUCCCGAUAUCUUGAUGAUCAUGCCAUUCCAAGGCUGCCCCAAUCAGGCUCUCACUGAAAUGCGACAUCAACAACUCAUCUUCCUUGCCGACAUUCCUAGUUUUAUAGCAAUAAUCCCUCAAAUGGUCCACUGUAUCUCCCCGCCCAUCAUACAAAUUAAACUUUGGCAUCUUAAACCCUUCCAGCUUUCUGGAUAUCUCAUUCUCCUCCAUUAUUUUAGCAAGCUUCGUAGUCUCACCGGGACCCUCAAAAUGAAGAGCAUUAUGGUAUGGACUCGAGGCCUUGAAAAUUUGUUCUGGAACGUAAUGUUGGGCAUCGGGGACUGAUGGCGGUGGACACCCACUGGCCCAAGCUUAGUGCAUUACGACUGUCUAUCUUUUCAACCUUAAAACCUCUUCUUUCAACUUUGACUCUGACUCAACAAUGCCCCUAGACGGAUCAGUAAUACAUGUGUUCAACCCUUUGCCUGCCAUGACUGCCUUGCUAUUCGACCUUGUGUUGUAUGGCUGAGUUACCAUAAACCAACCACUUCAACUUUCUUCACGAUUCAAAACAAAACAUGUUAGAAUGGAUUGAGUCGGCCCUCAUUAUUAACAACAUCUUUUCCCAGUGUUUUGUUUUUCUAUUUUUGUUUAUUCAAUUUUCUUUUCCUUUUUUCAUCAUUUUUUUUCUUGUCUUUUUUUUUGGUUGUGGUCGAAUCCUAUAUGGAUUGCCUACGUAUCAUGACCCCGCAUGACUCAAACCGUGAGUAGUUCUUGCAAAUAAAAGGUAAACGACAAUAAAACAUUUUUCGAAAUUUUCCAUUUUCAUAAUAACAACAAAACUAACCAACUUAACGAUGAAAUACAAACUCGAAAAUCUAACACCCUUAUACUCUAAUCAAAAGAAAUACAAACCCAAAAACAAAAUGACAGAUUCUUUCCCCUAUAUGCCAAUUUCAACCCAAAAUCCGAACGAUAUUCACUUGACCGUUGACUCUUUUUCUUGUUUUUCAAAUUAAAAUAAAUGACCCGGUAUUGCAAACACGGCCUUCCAGCGCCUCGGGGACGAAGAUUUUAAGGCUGUGAGGGUCAGAAUCAAAAUAUAACCAAAGGUAGCCGUUUAUGCAAAGUCAGCCUUCUGGCGCCCCGUUAGGGAACAUUUGGCUAUUUUUUAUAAAAACGGCAUCAACUGAUUUAGUUACGGCUCUUUUCUUGUUUUUCAAAUAAAAAUCAAAAUAAAAGACACGGUAUUGCAAAUAUGGCCAUUCAACGUCUCGAGGGCGAAAACUUAAGGCUGUGAGGGUUGAAAAUCAAAACAUGACCAAAGGUGGCUCUUUAUGCAAGGUCAGCCUUCCGGCGUCCCUUUUGAGAACAUUCGACUAUUUUUUACAAAACGGCAUCACCUGGUUUAUUUAUGACAAAAAUAAAAAUUUUGACAUUUUUGGGCUAUUUUUGUAAAGGGGAGGUUGGACCCAAUGAGGGUUGCCUACGUAUCUCACGCCCUGUGAGAAUCAAACCAUGCGUAGUUCCGACUCGACUCUUUUCUUUUUCCAAAAAAAAUAAAAUAGCCCAAAACUAAAAACUUUUUUUUUAUUUUUUUUAUUUUUUAUAACAGAACAAACUAUUUAUCUCUUUUUCAUUUUCGAAAAAAAGAUUAAUAUAAAAGGCUCUUUUUCCUUUCUCAUUUUUUAUGGAACAAAAAACUAUUUUUCCUUUUCUAUUUUUGAAAACAAGAUAAAAUAACGAUUUCUUUUUAUUUUAAACAAACAACCUAUUUUUCCCAAUUAAAGUAAAGACUCUUUUUUUUAAGUUUUUUAGUAACACAACCUAAAAAUAAAGUCUUUUUUUUACAAUAAAACACCCUAUUUUUCCAUUGGAAAAUAAACUAUUUUGUAACAAGAAGAACAAAAAUUAAGACUUCUUUUUUCUCAUGGAAAAGCAAACUAUUUUUCACUUUCCAUUUUUGCAAACAUGACAAACUAAAAAAUGACUCACUCUUUUUGAAUAAAACAACUAUUUAAAAAUAAAAUAUUUUAAAUUUUCUCAAAAUUUCGGUAGAGUUUUGACAGUACUUGGACAUCGGUUUUUCUAAAAAAUCACUUAACUUUCCAACUACAAUUUUUCUUUUUAUUCUUUUUUUCUUUUUUGUUUAAAUUUUCUAACAUUCCUGAGAUUCAAAAGCCGGUCAACAUGCAAGCACGAGCAAAUAAAUGCACAGAAAACAAGUAGGAUGCAUCAGGACGGUCGUUUCAUUUCAGGUUGCUAGCCUUAGAUGGACCCAACCCUUGUGUUGAGUCCCCUAAGUCAAAAUCCACAUGAUGCAAACAAGCGUUCCUACUAGGGAUCCGACAUGAGGCUGAGUUAUUCUAGGUUCAAAACCUGGGUGUUUGUUCUAGACNNNNNNNNNNNNNNNNNNNNNNNNNNNNNNNNNNNNNNNNNNNNNNNNNNNNNNNNNNNNNNNNNNNNNNNNNNNNNNNNNNNNNNUUCAAAGCCUGGGUGUUUGUUCUAGACCGGGCUUACCUGAGCGGAAGCUCGAGCCGAGGAGGAGACGGCAAUCCGGGAAUACAGAAGCUUCACUGGCUUUGCAACUUAUCCAAACUUCGUUCUAAUUUGGGAUUUGACACGAUACAGAAAAGAAGUCGUAUGAAGUACACCCUUCUUCAUGAUUCAUAAGACUCAAAGAGGAGAUAGGUUUCGGCACAGUUUAUAUACAGUUCACAUAAUAUCAAAGCUGUAAAAGCAGUCAAUUAGCACAUUAGGCACAUAUCAUGUAACAAAAUCAGAUAAAGCCAAACACCACAAUUAUUCUAAGCUCGAAUUAUGAACCCUGAACAAAGCGUUCUGGGUUCUUUUCCCCAGCAGAGUCGCUAGAGCUGUCACACCUCCUUUUUUACUGUACACCCCCCAAAGGGGCGUAAAGGAGUUUUCCAAUUAAACGAUAAUAGAAAUGGGAUUUGUUUGUUAUUUAUUCAGAGUCGCUACUUGGGAGAUUAAUGGUGUCCCAAGUCACCAGUUGAAUCCGAACCAAGGAAAAAGAUGAUGUCAUUUCACAGUCCGCGAACUAAAAAUCCGAAUAAGGAAUUCUGUUAACCUGGGAGAAGGUGUUAGGCAUUCCCAAGUUCCGUGGUUCUAGCACGGUCGCUCAACUGUUGGAUUUAGCUUUUAACUGAUUUUAUUACAUGAAGAACCUAUGUGCCAAUUUUUACUCUUUUGCCGCUUUUAUUUAAUAGAUGUUUAUUUGAGAAAGUGAACGUCGUUUAAAGUGUGUUUUCGGAUUGCGCCGCAUCAAAUGAACCCGCAAUCCUAGGCACACUCUAUUAAACGUUUUAAGAUUUGGAUUUGGGACGCAUAAAAUUCCCACCCGUAUUUAGGAAUGUAAUUUACUAAAGUCGCGCCUAAUAGGGUCUAACGCGUUCUAAUCGUUUGGGAGGGUCGUGAAAUUGGCUAAACGACCCUUCCCAUUUUUUAAAAUAUUUUUAAACCUUUAUUGAGUUUCCCGAAAUUUGUAUUUUUGGGCGAGGCUCGUCUCAUUUUAUUUUUAAAAAAUAUAAACCUAAAAGAUAACUAUAUUUGUUUUUUGAUUUUUGUUCUAAGAGAAAAGAAAAUCCUAAUUGAUUAUUAGAAUUCGGAUUCCGAGUUCAAGUCUGGGCCCAAACAAAAGGAGGAACCUUUUAGUUUAAAACCCUCAACCUAACUAGAAACCAAAUUUUAUUAAUUCACCACUUAGUGUCUCUAAAACAUGAAAAGCCUUAAUUAAUUACAAAAUUCUAAUCCAACUGAGCCAAGACCGUACCCAAGUAUGGAUGAGGCAUAACCAAACGUCGGAAAUACUGAAGCCUAUGAUAGAAAGGCCCAAUCUAACGAACCAAAUGGUUUUACGUGGGAGCUGUGGCAAAUGGGCCUGAGGCCAGCCCAAACGGUAAUGCUCAAGGAAGAUCAGGGGAUCAAACCCCUGGAGCUCACAAGCACACGAGUUAAUUUGUUAUCAAACCGUUCGCCACUUCAGUCAAUAUAGACAAGAACAAUUGGAACAAUUGAAUUUCUAAAAAAACUGCAAUUAAUAUUGAACUGAGCAAACCAACCAUGUAUAAAUUUUUCACGUAAAUAAGAAGAAAAGACAAACCAAUCAUGUUUAAUUUUAUUAGCGCUUCCUACCAAUAAUUAGCUAUAUCUACCAUGAUUUAUCAAUCUCAACACUAAUCAACAACUUAAACACCCACUGAUUUUAAUGUCCUGAAAUCAAAUUACUUAAACACCACUAAUUGUAAUUAACUACUGAAAACUUCAAUCAUCUGUUUAUUUCUAAGCACAUGCAUACACUUGAUAAUUCAAGCUGAAUUUGUGCAGUCCAAAUCAGCAUAGGAUUAUCCCAAUCAACAGCCUAAAUUAAUACAAAUUGACUACGCCAAGCACGAUUCUGUUCCUCAUGAAUUUACAAUCUAAUCUUACUAGAAAAUAGUCCAAUUACUCAUAACAGAAACAGUGAACUAAUGAAAUCGUAAAUUUUAAACUUGCUUCAAAUUGAGCAAGGAUUUGCGCACAUUUCAUUUCAACUUCAAGAGUAGCUACAUGGAAACAAUUUGAGGGAGUGUACCUGAAUGCCGAAAUACAAGAAAAGUGAGAAGAGGAUCAGCUUAUAAUGACAAGUUCCUGCAGUGUAAUUUGCAGUUUUAGCAGCAGGAAAUACAGCUAGUGUCCAGCAGUUAACAAUAGCUACAAACUUGGACAAUUUGGACCCAAAAUGACUUCACAAAACCAAAGCCAUUCACCAUAGGAAGGCCACAACCAGUAAAGGACUCUAGAACAACUUAAUUGCUACCAAAACCAAACGAAAUUCACCCCAAAAUACCCUUGGAACCAACAGUAACCAGAAGAUGAACCAAAAAUUGUAAUCCAACAGCUAAUAAUUGAAACCCAUUUAACAUCUUAAUGAAACAUGAGAAUUUCUUAGAUUUUCUGGAUAGAUUUCUAUUUUUUUGGUUUUUCUCUUGAAGAAGCUAAAAUUAAAGGUAAUUUCAGAUCUGAAUUUCAGAUCUGGAAGCUUGAGGAUUUUUGGGCUGACCAAAACUUGUAUUUUAAGUCACUAAUGAUGCAUUUUUAUAGGCCUAAGGGAGGGCAACCCUCAAAUUUCAGUUUUCCUUUUAGUCCCUCCUAAUUUUCAGUUUAGUCCCUCUAUUUUUGACUUGCUAAACAAGGAAAUUCAUCAUAACACUUGUGCCCCAUUCUAGAAGCCUCUAGGAUGCUCUUUUAGCUAGGCAAUUCCUAUACUACCCUUACCCCUAUUUUGAAAUUACAAAACGUAACAAACUUACCCUUUUCCAAUGCCCGAACUACCCUUGUCACCUCCUAGAAUUACUAACCUCAGUUGAUUCCACCAAACCUUUUUACUCUUAGAUAAGGUCUAACUAAAGCUACCCAUAGACAAGCUAAAACUAGUCCAACAAUUACAAACAAUCAGGAACAACCAUCAAAAUAAACAGAGACAAAAUUAAACUAUUAUACCACCUAAACUAUUAUCUGAAAAUCAAUUAACCAAAAUGAAUCAACAAAUUAAACUAAAAGAUAGAAUAGACCGGGAAUGAGACUAGACCAACAAUUAUACAGAACUCAGUCAGAAUAAAUAAAAUAGGUACACAUACUAUAAUAAUUAAACCCUACCCAAGACUGAUAAACUACGAAAUUAUAACAAAGCUAAACUACCAUAACAAGAUAAAAACUAAAACUCAACCCAAAAUCAGAUUUAAACCACGAGCCAAUCUUAUGUAACAAACCGGACUGGGAAUGAAAAAAAGAACAUGAAAAGCUAAACUAUUCUAAUAGAAAUAACAAGUUAAAGAACACUUACUAUGGAAGAUGUUCAAACUUCACAAAAAACAAAUGAACUCCUAAAGCAAGUUUGACUCCAGCAUCCUAGAUUUGAAAUCUGAUCCAACCACGUGAAAUUCAAGAGAAGUUAACCAAGGAUUUGUGAAGAGGAAGACGGGGAAACUGUGUGGUGAAGAUUUGGAGCCAUUUGGAUGAACUACGAUUUCUUGGCCAAUUUUCGAUCUAAUAUUCAAGUGAUCGGCCGGGAACUGAAGAAAGUGGCUUUGGGGUUUGGAAAGGGGAUGAGGAGAAGAAUCAAUGGUGAAAUUGUGGGGUUAUUUCGAGCAUCGCUACCACUGGAGACGAUUUCCGGCCGGCGGCUUACGGAGGAGCAUGGCGACAUUUCAUUUCUCUGAUGAGAAUUUAAGAGAGAAGAGGGUGAGGGGUCUGAGGGGGUAGGGUAGUGUUAGGGCAGUUUUAUGCGAUUAAAC